rnacentral:rRNA from 1 species
UAGAGUUUGAUCCUGGCUCAGAUUGAACGCUGGCGGCAGGCUUAACACAUGCAGGUCGAACGGUAACAGGAAGCAGCUUGCUGCUUUGCUGACGAGUGGCGGACGGGUGAGUAAUGUCUGGGAAACUGCCUGAUGGAGGGGGAUAACUACUGGAAACGGUAGCUAAUACCGCAUAACGUCGCAAGACCAAAGUGGGGGACCUUCGGGCCUCAUGCCAUCAGAUGUGCCCAGAUGGGAUUAGCUAGUAGGUGGGGUAAUGGCUCACCUAGGCGACGAUCCCUAGCUGGUCUGAGAGGAUGACCAGCCACACUGGAACUGAGACACGGUCCAGACUCCUACGGGAGGCAGCAGUGGGGAAUAUUGCACAAUGGGCGCAAGCCUGAUGCAGCCAUGCCGCGUGUAUGAAGAAGGCCUUCGGGUUGUAAAGUACUUUCAGCGAGGAGGAAGGCAUUAAGGUUAAUAACCUUAGUGAUUGACGUUACUCGCAGAAGAAGCACCGGCUAACUCCGUGCCAGCAGCCGCGGUAAUACGGAGGGUGCAAGCGUUAAUCGGAAUUACUGGGCGUAAAGCGCACGCAGGCGGUCCGUUAAGUCAGAUGUGAAAUCCCCGGGCUCAACCUGGGAACUGCAUUUGAAACUGGCAGCUUGAGUCUCGUAGAGGGGGGUAGAAUUUCCAGGUGUAGCGGUGAAAUGCGUAGAGAUCUGGAG